UCAUCGGGGCGCAGAAGAGUGGGAGUAGGGGUGGAGUGAGACGGGGGCAGCUGUCGUCACAGUCGGUCGGUCGGUCGGGCGCACAAAUUCACGUCCUUACUUACACAGGCAGCUGGCCUGUGGGUUCUGACCAGCUGGCUGACUUAGCGCUGGGCCCUUAAGGCUAAAUUGGCAGGGCCUGAAGAGGGAGACACUGAGGGCCUGUCAGAGAGCACCCACCCAGGAGAAAACGGGCUUCAUCCUGGGGACAGAGCCAGGUUGUUGGGGCUGCGGGUGGGUGCAGAGAAGAACGCCAGGGAAAGGUCCUUGUUCUCUUCCCUCCUGUGGGAAGGAAACUCCAGAGACUCAAAGUACAGUUGGAGAGCAUCACAGAGGGGGCUGGCAGCGGAACCGCACCGGGAGUGUGGCUCUCUGAGGCCUCAGGGACCCGGCUACUGUCAUCCCUGACCUCUGAGACCACAAGCGCCUUUUGGGUUUUAGUUCUGCCUCCCAAACUGGAGACUGUGUUUCCCCCGGCCCCCCGCCCUUCCUCUUGGUUCGCUCCCCAGCCCAGUCUCAGUCCUACUGUCCCACUGCCUCCACGGGUUCAGGAGGCCCUGCCUUUGAAGUCCAACAGUUGACCUUCGGGAAGCCACAGAGAGACCCCAGCCUCCAAUGUCACCAUCUACAGGCAGAGACCAGCAGACAGGCACCAAAGAUAAAACCUCAACCACCUUCACUGGAUGUGCCUGCCCCCCCUGAUGAGAUGUGGAGUGCCUCUCCAGGAAGUCCAAAGCACCUUGACCUGUUUCAGGAAGUAACCACCUCCCUCAAAGGAAUCCAGGCCCUGCUGGAGGCCCUAACAGGGUAAAAGUAAAGUUCGGUCUCCCCUACACCUUGAACCAGAGUGAAGCAUGAUGGAAGAACAGAAGAGGAAGGCAUGGGAGAAAAACUAAGGGGGAACAUCCCUAACGUUGAACAUAAGCAUAACUGAACCUAGCGAUCUGAGAUGAAUAAUGUAGCCACACUGGAAGAAAAAAAAAUAACCAACUGAAAUGACUUUUGGGCGCAGUACAUCGACUAUAAACAUCUUCAAGUCCAAAGACAAGAACUGCAAACACAUACUGAACUGUCCCAUAGUAGGGACCCGAUCACCCAGGAACACACAACACUUCAAUCAUUUUGCCCCUAUCUGAAGAGGAUAUUUACCUUUACCUCCACUCGAUCUCCGGAAAGAAUCUUCUUGUACAGAAGAGGAAAAGACAAAUCCGGGCAGGCUGAAAGAGGCAGCCGAACCCCACAGGAUGAAAACGUGAUAUUUCCGUUCAUUUGAUUUUCGGAGACCAUUCGACGCCCCUCCCCAGCCCACACAUCUACUCUAGAGAAUGGACGCCUUGUCCUGACUGACGCCCUCUGUUCAAAUUUUCCUUUCGUUGUCGCAAGAUUAGGUUACUACGUAAUCCGAAAGGUCAUACUGAGGAUUAAGACAAUUUCAUGUUAAAUUGGUGACAAAACUCUUA